rnacentral:rRNA from 1 species
ACGGGUGAGUAAUGCCUAGGAAUCUGCCUGGUAGUGGGGGAUAACGUUCGGAAACGGACGCUAAUACCGCAUACGUCCUACGGGAGAAAGCAGGGGACCUUCGGGCCUUGCGCUAUCAGAUGAGCCUAGGUCGGAUUAGCUAGUUGGUGAGGUAAUGGCUCACCAAGGCGACGAUCCGUAACUGGUCUGAGAGGAUGAUCAGUCACACUGGAACUGAGACACGGUCCAGACUCCUACGGGAGGCAGCAGUGGGGAAUAUUGGACAAUGGGCGAAAGCCUGAUCCAGCCAUGCCGCGUGUGUGAAGAAGGUCUUCGGAUUGUAAAGCACUUUAAGUUGGGAGGAAGGGCAUUAACCUAAUACGUUAGUGUUUUGACGUUACCGACAGAAUAAGCACCGGCUAACUCUGUGCCAGCAGCCGCGGUAAUACAGAGGGUGCAAGCGUUAGUCGGAAUUACUGGGCGUAAAGCGCGCGUAGGUGGUUUGUUAAGUUGGAUGUGAAAUCCCCGGGCUCAACCUGGGAACUGCAUUCAAAACUGACUGACUAGAGUAUGGUAGAGGGUGGUGGAAUUUCCUGUGUAGCGGU